rnacentral:rRNA from 1 species
GUGGGGAAUAUUGGACAAUGGGCGAAAGCCUGAUCCAGCCAUGCCGCGUGUGUGAAGAAGGUCUUCGGAUUGUAAAGCACUUUAAGUUGGGAGGAAGGGCAGUAAGUUAAUACCUUGCUGUUUUGACGUUACCGACAGAAUAAGCACCGGCUAACUUCGUGCCAGCAGCCGCGGUAAUACGAAGGGUGCAAGCGUUAAUCGGAAUUACUGGGCGUAAAGCGCGCGUAGGUGGUUUUGUAAGUUGGAGGUGAAAUCCCCGGGCUCAACCUGGGAACUGCCUCCAAAACUGCAUGACUAGAGUACGGUAGAGGGUAGUGGAAUUUCCUGUGUAGCGGUGACAUGCGUAGAUAUAGGACGGAACCCCAGCGACGAAAGCGACUACCUGGACUGAUACUAACACUGAGGUGCGAAAGCGUGGGUAGCAAACAGGAUUAGAAACCCGAGUAGUCC